rnacentral:lncRNA from 1 species
CAACUUCAUGUCAAGAAAGUUCAAGAAAGGACUUGUUUGUUCCCAGGACUUAAAAAUGAAACUGAUAUAUUGAUUAUGAAUAAAGAUUUUAAGAACAUGUUAUUGUGUACAGAAAGAAGAACAGAUUGAAAUGUUUGAAUCAAUCCUGAUGUAAAAGAAAGAAGAAUAUAAAAUUUUCCAUCUUUAGUUGAAGAAAAAACGAUAAUUCAAAUGGAGAUAGCUCCAAGAAAUAGUUUCUUGAGAUAUGUAUACCUGUGGGACUGUACUCCAGAAAAAUGAAACUGAAAACUAGCGAAAUCUGAAAAUGUUAAAAGAGUUACGGGUUGCAAUAUUGGAGAUGAAUUUAGAGGGGUUCGGAGCAUGCAUGUGGGGUGGAGGAGAGUGGAUAUAUGAAUAAGAUGGGGGGAAAACCACACUAGAACCCAAGAUGAUUUAUAUGGGGAAGUAGGGACUAAGGAGAUUUGCCUAUUUAAAAAAAAAAUCUCAAAAUUUGCAAAACCAUCGACUCAAUUGGACUGAUAGUUCAUAAUAAAUAUAAUAAAAU